AAAGAUAAGGAAAUGAAGGAGGAAGAAGGGGGCAUGGCGUGCAGUGCCUGCGGCUAGGAAAGGGGAUGUCGAGCACGUAGUGAUUGGGUGCGUGGCACGCACUGCCGAAGAAGAAGAAUAAAAAAAAAGAAGAAAAAAAAGAAAAAAAAAUGAGAAGGAGGAGGAGGAGGGAAGCAGGGUGCACGACCAGAAAGGCAAAGUUGCGUGCAGUGCUAAGUGCAUGGCGUGCGGUGCUGAGCUCACGAUGUGCGAUGUUACGCUCGAGGUGCACGAUGCUGGGCGUGUGACGUGCGAAAUGCAGUGUUGGGUGCGCGACGCGCAGUGCUUGGCGCACUGUGUCGAGCGCACAACGCUCGUUGUUAAGGAAGAAUGAGCAAAGCACAUGUUGGGUGGACUUGAUCCGUAUGAAGCAAACCACAACACAACAUUCUAGAUCUGUUCAAAGAUCCGUGUGAGGCCAAAAAUCAGGGAAUCAAAGAAAGAGACCAAAACCGCACUUUUUUGUAUAGAAAGCCCGAAUUCAACACCGAUUUCGGGAAAUUGGGAAUAUAAAGCUGAAAAUGGAGCUGACUGUAGGGAACCAAAGUCGUUCGAAAGUUUUGCGAUUUUUUCUUUCGUUGGAGAUCCUGGUAAAAAUUAAGUUAGUUUUCAUUUGAGGAUUUCAUGUUUUCAUAAAAUGAUUUAUUGAUUUCAAAAUAAUUAAUUUAAAAGUUUGAUGGAUGAUUUAAGUGUUAUCCUAAAAGGUGUUUUGCAAAGUUUCAUAUGUAUGUGAAUGAGUGUGUAUUGAGCGUCGGUGUUGUAUAGGGUAUAUGUAUAAUAAUAUGGAUACAUAUAUGUCGGGCGUGAAUGAAUAUGUAAAGAUGUAGUAUACUUAGGCUAAUGUUUGUUUAAUGCAUAGGAUUCUAUAUAUAAAAAGUAGAUGGAUUCUAGGGCGUAUUUACGUAUGUAGCUAUAUAUAUGAGUAUGUAAUAUGUGUUUACAUAUAUAUAUAUAUGUUGAUAUAUAUGAAGCUGUACAAAAAUGUAAAUAGAUAUAUAUGUAUGUUGGUAUGA